ensembl:lncRNA
GUAAGACUCAUAUAUUUCUUCCUAAUUUGGCAUUCAUUCCUGUUAUUAUUUUUGCCUUUCUUGGAGGUGGGGGCAGUAAUCAAAUUAUGACAGAAAUGUCCAAAAUAAAGUAUGCUUAGCUUUGGUGACUUGUGUUUAAUUAUGUUUUUGACAUGACUCAAAACAAAAUUACAUAUUCAAUAUGAUCAAUAACAUGAAGACUAUUGGGGGAAAGAUCCUGCUGGAAGAUAAUGCAUCUGUACCCGUGAAACUGAGACUAUAUGCUGAUGAGAACUUGAGCUGCUCUGUCGGAACAUGGUCCAACAAUGGCAUUGUGGUAGGACAAUUCCGAGUCCUUGUGAGAAAACUCCAAGAAACCAAGACAAAAGUCUUGCCACCUGUUACUUCCAAAACAUGGAAUUGUUCUUGGAUUAUGCUUUCAUGGCCCUCUAAGCCCCAUCUACAGAGAUUCACCACCUGUGAUCAUCACAUAGAAAGAGAAUCGUUAAGACUCUUUGCUACUCAUGAUCUUGAGAAACAGGAAGAUUCUACUAAAAAUACCCUGAGGUGCUGGAGCACAAGCCUGGGAAACAUAAGAAAGUUUGGGUAUCAGCAAGGAGACACCAGUGUGUAAAGGCAUCACCACAUGAAUGGAGCUACAAGAGAUGGCAAAUUCCAGUACGUUUCAGGAAGGAGCUGAGUCAAUGUUUCAUGUGCAGUUACACAUACAGGCUGACUUUUCACAUCCAGAAAUGAUCUAAAUAUGCUUCGUGGGAUUCAAAAUCAGCAUCAGCUCCUCUUAGCAAAAAUCGCUUUCAUCUCUCCAAGAGCUGCUUCUGUGGAAUGUGUGGUCAUUCUUUGCUAGAAGGCAUUUGGGGAAGCCACAUCAGCCUAAAUUCUCAUGAGAAUUCCUCUUGCCUGUCAGAUACUUUAUCUUCAAAGAAUGGCACUUGACUGUUACGGGAUCCCUCCAUCCUCCAUGACAAAAUGAGAAAGUAUACAUUGGUGUUUCAACUGCUUCAGUUAUUGAGGUGACAUUUUGUACCAUGUGAUGGGAUAGGAAUGUCAUCAUGUUUCAUCUGUAUUUGUGAAAUAAAAUGUGCAACCCUCAUUUUCACUGAAA